UCUCCUCCCUGAAGGUGUCAACCUGCUCGCGAAUUCGUGCUCCAGCGUGUUCUCCAAAAGUGAAGCUCACGCACGGAUUUCAACCCCUCGGUGUUUCAGCCCUCUUUUUUUGCCCUCCGAAGGUUGACCUUUCCUCUCUCUCAGUUUUCUCGCGGCAUUUUUUUCGACGGUCUUUGUGAAACUCGCGGACCGAGUGAAAAGUUCGAGGGAACAAGGCUCUUACCUCCGGAUAACGCGAACGCGGACAGUCGUAUUUACUCGAGUCUGGUCACGUGACACUCUUCAGCUGGCGACGAUUAUCAUGCUGGCCGGGAUCUUCGAAGGCAACAAUGAGGAAGCUGAAUCGACGUAACGCUCCACGCCAGGAUGGCCGGUUGGCCGUUCAGCACCGCGCUGCUGUUCAGCAUCCUCAUCCUUGUUCGCGGACGAAACCCGAAGCUCAUUUGGGGUGGGAUCGUGCCCAUGCAAAUGGAUCCUGUCUGGCG